UAUUGCGCAAUGGGCGAAAGCCUGACGCAGCAACGCCGCGUGCAGGAAGAAGGGCUUCGGCUCGUAAACUGCUUUUCUGAGGGACGAGCAAGGACGGUACCUCAGGAAGAAGUCUCGGCUAACUACGUGCUAGCAGCCGCGGUAAAACGUAGGAGGCGAGCGUUAUCCGGAUUUACUGGGCGUAAAGCGCGUGCAGGCGGUUUGGUAAGUUGUGCGUGAAAGCUCCCAGGCUCAACCGGGAGAGGCCGUGCAAGACUGCCCGACUAGAAGUAGAGAGAGGCCAGUAGAAUUCCGGGUGUAGUGGUGAAAUGCGUAGAGAUCCGGAGGAAUACCAGAAGCGAAGGCGGCUGGCUGGCUCUAACUUGACGCUCAGACGCGAAAGCAUGGGGAGCGAAC
rnacentral:rRNA from 1 species